AUUGAACGCUGGCGGCAGGCCUAACACAUGCAAGUCGAGCGGUUGAAGGGAGCUUGCUCCCUGAUUCAGCGGCGGACGGGUGAGUAAUGCCUAGGAAUCUGCCUAUUAGUGGGGGACAACGUUUCGAAAGGAACGCUAAUACCGCAUACGUCCUACGGGAGAAAGCAGGGGACCUUCGGGCCUUGCGCUAAUAGAUGAGCCUAGGUCGGAUUAGCUAGUUGGUGAGGUAAUGGCUCACCAAGGCGACGAUCCGUAACUGGUCUGAGAGGAUGAUCAGUCACACUGGAACUGAGACACGGUCCAGACUCCUACGGGAGGCAGCAGUGGGGAAUAAUGGACAAUGGGCGAAAGCCUGAUCCAGCCAUGCCGCGUGUGUGAAGAAGGUCUUCGGAUUGUAAAGCACUUUAAGUUGGGAGGAAGGGCAGUAAGUUAAUACCUUGCUGUUUUGACGUUACCGACAGAAUAAGCACCGGCUAACUCUGUGCCAGCCGCCGCCGUAAAAC
rnacentral:rRNA from 1 species